UCUCCGUUGGUGAACCAGCGGAGGGAUCAUUACAGGACUCGCAAGACUCCUACAACCCUGUGAACUUAACUAUAAGCACGUUGCUUCGGCGGGUGUCUCGGAGGGGGUUCUCCCUCCCCGAGAAGCUAAACCCGCCGGCAGCCUACUAUACUCUGUCUCUUUGCGUUGGCAUCUCGAGUACAAUCAAACAAGUUAAAACUUUCAACAACGGAUCUCUUGGUUCUG
rnacentral:misc_RNA from 1 species